AACAUACUCUCUCUGUCCGAAAAAACUUGUCACUCAAAUGGAUGUAUCUAACACCAAAUUAGUACUAGAUACAUCCAUUUGAGGAACAAGUUUGGGAUAAGUUUUUUUGGAUGAAGGGAGUACGUA
rfam:Triticum aestivum genome assembly, contig: Triticum_aestivum_CS42_TGACv1_scaffold_623467_7DS